rnacentral:rRNA from 1 species
CCUACGGGAGGCAGCAGUGGGGAAUUUUGGACAAUGGGCGCAAGCCUGAUCCAGCAAUGCCGCGUGAGUGAAGAAGGCCUUCGGGUUGUAAAGCUCUUUUGUCAGGGAAGAAACGGUGGGGGCUAAUAUCUCCUACUAAUGACGGUACCUGAAGAAUAAGCACCGGCUAACUACGUGCCAGCAGCCGCGGUAAUACGUAGGGUGCAAGCGUUAAUCGGAAUUACUGGGCGUAAAGCGUGCGCAGGCGGUUUUGUAAGUCUGUCGUGAAAGCCCCGGGCUCAACCUGGGAAUUGCGAUGGAGACUGCAAGGCUUGAAUCUGGCAGAGGGGGGUAGAAUUCCACGUGUAGCAGUGAAAUGCGUAGAGAUGUGGAGGAACACCGAUGGCGAAGGCAGCCCCCUGGGUCAAGAUUGACGCUCAUGCACGAAAGCGUGGGGAGCAAACAGGAUUAGAUACCCUGGUAGUCCACGCCCUAAACGAUGUCUACUAGUUGUCGGGUUUUAAUUAACUUGGUAACGCAGCUAACGCGUGAAGUAGACCGCCUGGGGAGUACGGUCGCAAGAUUAAACGUUCAAAGGAUUGACGG